ensembl:lncRNA
ACACCCCUGGGACUGUUUCAAGACUGAACAAGUUGCGCAAACGUCUACUAUGAAACUCUGCCUACAAAAAACUUUAAAUUCAUUUAGACUCUCAAUCUGGCUUUUAAACUUUCUAGGGUCAUGGGUCUCUGAGAAUCUAAUGAAAUCUAUGAACUUUCUCUCUGGGGCAGGAAAAAAUACUCAUCUGACCAUAUAUACCAUUUCAAAGGGGGUGAAAACCUGUGGCGUUCUCCAAGUGUGGAUUCUGAGCCAGCAGCAUCAGGAUUUCCUGGGAACUUACCAGAAAUGCCCCACACCCAAGCCUACUGAAUAAGAAAGUUUGGGGUGGGAAAAAGCCCUCCAGGUAUUUUUGAUGAAUACACAAGUUUGAGAACUCUCCAGAGCCAUGGUUCUCAGAGCUGCCUCCUUAGCAGAAUCACCUGAGUUAAAAACAAGAAGCACUGGUGCCUGAGCCCCGUCUCCUUUAAUUAAAUCAGUAUCUGGAGGUGGGGCCCAACACGCGGAUUUUUAAAAGCUCUCCAAAGGAGCUAAGCUCUGUGGACGCAGAUUUUAAUAACCCAGGCUACCUCUGCCAAUCCCAGUUAGAGCAUGAUAGCACCAGGGAGAACUGAGCACCAGCCUGACUCAUCACUGUCAUUUACAGUUCUGCGUCUUUCUCUGCUCCAGGAAGUGCUGCACACUGAAACAGUGAGCCCCAAACAUUCCCGAAGAAGCCAGGAAAGUGAAGACACGUGCUUGAAAGUAGCCUAGAUCCGGCAUUCGUAGCCGCACACCAUCGCCAGCAACUCCCAGUGGUUUUCCCUCUUUGGCCCAAUGUUUGCAGUGCCUGCUGCUCAUUUUCACUGAACUCGGCCCAUGGAGCUUUCUUGAGAAUGAGCUGAACCUUUGCCUGGAAGGCAGCAGAGCUGCAGUGGGACAGUCUUUGUGUUGACACGCGGGGUGACAUGGCAGGAGCCUGGCGGGGCGGGGGGGAGAGGAGGGAAGUCCAGGCUCUGGACAGGUGUCCUGGGUUUCAUGCCAGCUCUGCCACCAGCUCUCUCUGUGACCUUGGGCUUCUUGCUCAACCUCUUCCUGCCUCAGUUCCCUCACUUCUCCAGUAAGGGUCAUAAUAAUAGCACAAGCACCCUUGAGGGUUGUGACUGUUACAGGGGUUUGACGCAUGUGGAGACUGAUGGCCACAUCAGAGUGCGUGCUCCGCGAGUGUCAGCUCUCCACGGGGGCAGGCACAGGUGACAGGGAAGCCCGUGGCUCCCGCAGGAGAGGCGGGAGCUUAGAAAACUGCCUUUUCUUUUCUUCUUUUUUUAACCCUGAGGAUUAUAGAAAUCUGCGUCUGCAUUCUGGCUUCCUCCACACAAUGAUUUAUUUAAUAUCAAAUCAUUAUGUAGAAAUAAUAAGCAUAGGUGUGAGCACCUGGGGAGACUGUAUGGUCGUCUUUAUGUUGGCGCUUUGCAAGAUGAUAUAAAAAUACUAACUUUGGGGUGGGCCCAGUGGCAUAGCUGUUAAGUUCAUGUGCUCCACUUCAGCAGCCCUAGGUUCACAGGUUUGGAUCCUGGGCACAGACCUCAUCGCUCGUCGAAGCGUAAUACAUAAAAUAGAGGAAGAUGGCACAGGUGUUCGCUCAGGGCCAAUCUUCCUUGCACACACACAAUAAUAAUACUAAUUUUCAUUAUAAUAUUUUAAUUGAUAGUUUUCAGGUUGGCAUGGACUAAUAAACAGUAUAAAUUGACACGACAUAGAAUUUUAGUGCUUUCGGGUCUGUAGAUGAACUUUGAGCGUAGUGAAGCAGGUCUUCCCCGAUGCUGGUGAAAGCAGGCGUGAGGUGUGUGUAGCACAGCGGCUGAGUGUGACCUCUCACCCUCAGAUGAGUUUGGAUCCUGGACUUCCCAUUGGCUGUUUAUGGGGCCCCUUAUGGGGCCCUGGGAAAGUUAUUUAUUUUUUCUAAGCCUCAGUUUACUCUUAUGUGAAAUGUUCUGAGCAUCGUUUCUAAAUCAUAGAGUUGUGUCAAAUAAAAACAAACCUGGACUUCGAUAAGGAGAAACUUUAUUCGAAAAGACCAUCGCGAACAGGAGAGUCUCCAAUCUCAGGAAUCUGCAGGUAGCUCAGAACCAAACAGAAAAGGCUUUUCUUUUAUGGGGAGGGGUAAGGAGAUCUCAGCAGCCAUGGGAGUUGGGCAAGCAGGGAGCGUGAUGGCCGGGGUCUGGCGGGAAGCGUGUCUCGCUGUGGUCAGCCAUUCCCAGGAUACGCUGAUAAAGGGAGGCCUUAGAGCCUGCCCAGGCCCAAGGCAGGCAGAGUUCAGGGGCCUGUGGGGACGAGAGAAGCCCCACUUGAGUUUUGUCAAGACAAAGCAGCAGUUAAGAAACGGGCAAGUGUGAGCACUUGGUCUCCUGUUUUGAGGAUUAAGUGAAAUUACCCAUAUAUAUCCCUCACCAAGGUCUCUGGGUAGUAACGACAAAUGCUGGGGUGAUUUUUUAUUACAAAUGCUCGAUUCUAAAAUGUUUGAGAGAAGCUUUUUCUUUCUCUUGAGCAGAAUAAUUUAGUCACAUACCACUGAUAAUCUCCCAUCCACUGAGCAUUUACUAUGGUCCAGGCCCAGUGCUGGGAAGAGGCACAGACGUUGGUGAGAGAGUUCCUGAGCUUAAGGAGUUCUCAGUCCAGCAGGACAGAAGGAAGUGUUAUGCGACGUAACGUGAAAGGGGCAACCAGUCUGACAUAUGAGGGAUGUCAUGGGAGAACGUGGGGGGUUGUCAGUUAGCUGGGGGAACUAUGAUGAAGGAAGAACCUGGACAAGAUGAGCCCUGAACUGAGUCUUGAAGGAGAAGAAGCAGGGUUUGAAGGAGUGUGUGGGGUGCCAAGGACAUCAGGCAGUUACUGGACCCCGGAGUUCUGGGCAGAGCGAUGGCUGGGUCUGCAGAGGCCAGUAGGGGCCGGGUGACGGAAGCCACUGAAGGGCAGGACCGUGGUAAGUUGUGUAUUUAGGACAGGGAUCUAGGGUCAC